CCGGCGACCGGCGCACGGGUGAGUAACACGUAUGCAACCUGCCGCCACAGGGGGAUAACCCGCGGAAACGCGGCCUAAUACCCCGUGACGCCACCGGAGGGCAUCCUCCGGUGGCCAAAGGAGCGAUCCGGUGGCGGAUGGGCAUGCGGCGCAUUAGCUAGACGGCGGGGUGACGGCCCACCGUGGCGACGAUGCGUAGGGGUUCUGAGAGGAAGGCCCCCCACACUGGGACUGAGACACGGCCCAGACUCCUACGGGAGGCAGCAG
rnacentral:rRNA from 1 species